rnacentral:lncRNA from 1 species
UACACUUCUAAUGAAUUUUUUUUUUUUUUUUUUUAAAGAAUAAUGAAUUGGAAUCUAAUUGAAUUAUACUUUUCCAACUCCAAUAAUCUAUUGGGUUCGACUUUGGAGUUUUCUCUCAAACAGACUACUGUUGGGGCAGUAAAUACAUUUUUCAAGUUUCUAUCAUUCUCUCGCGAUAACUAGCUCUGAUGCACAGAGCAAUAACUUCAAAACCCAGGAACAAAUCAGUCGAAAUAUACCUAAAAGCAAGAAUAAGAGCAGCAGUGAAAUGGGAUCGUAUUUUUCAAUGAGAUCAGUGGGCGCCGUUCUCCACAGAUUCUUCGAUGGGGUGUCCUCAAAAUGCCCCACCAAUUCGUUUUCUCCGGCAGGCACUGCUCUGCUAUAUAGGAUCCUGUUAUAGUUUCUAUCAACUCUAUCACCGCAUAUAUAUCUUACGAGGUAAUAUGACUUACGAUAAUACGUUAGACAGUAUUCUUCUGAUAAAUUAUGGUGGGAUUUACGUGUGAGGUAGGUACGACUCAGAAUUUUACUUGCCCACCAAAUGUUUGAUGAAAAUCCCCAAAAAAGUUGUUCCAAUAUCAAUGGGUCUAUGCCGUGUUUCUUUUAGGCGUAGAAUAGGCUUUGAAGAGAAUAAAAUAGUUGAUGUCAUCCUUGUUGUUCAGCAUGUAGUAUUCUGUCAACUGAGGUGCUCUGUAAUUUGCUUUUGUUUCUUCUUUCCAAAUCAACGAGAACAUAGCAUUUUCUGCAUUUUUCUUAUGUAGUAUGGGGUGCUUAUAUCCAAAUUACUUAAACUUGAUGAUGUUGAUGCCAUAUACACAGACCAGAAAUGAUAAAAAUUCAUGUCUCCUGUUCCUCCUUUGGCAAUUCAAUUGAGUAAUGGAACUGUCAAAUAUAGCUGACUCCAUUAAAAAAAUUUUGCUGUGGCCUUGCAAGCAAAACAGAAAGAUCGUUUAUUGUUGCUCCGGUCAGCUGGGUCUUAGGCGGCAGCUUUUUAUCUUUUCAACUACUUUUUUAUAUUCCCAAUUUUUAUAUUUUUCUUAGUUUUGAAGUUGAUGGAAGAUUUAUCUCUUGCUGCUAAUAGUUGAGAAAGCUAUUUGUUCUUGUUUACUGGUCUUCUUGUGGUAAUUUGUUUUGGGAAAGUUUAUUUAUGGCAUACAACAAAUGAAUGUUGUAAAAUAUCCGAAACCUAUAUGAAACAUGGUUUCUAGUUAAUAGUUGAACAUGCGUCUCAAGAAGGUGAUCGACGAAAGUGCUGCAAUCUUUUGGACUGAAUUCUUAUCAUGAACACUAUUAAAGGUUUAGGUUGUUUUUUCUUCAGGCAUUCAGUUGCAUAUUUAACAUCCUAUUGGGAAGCACAUAAUUGAAAGACACUGAUAAAUCUUAAUCAAAAGACUGCCAAACUAGUAAGUUCUUGAUCGGACACAAAAAUUUUACCUAUUUUUCACCGUACAGUUGCUAUACAUCGUGGUGAUUAAUAUUCUAGAUAUACGCAAAAAUCAAGCAGGCAAAUGACCUGCAUGUUUGGAACUUUUAUCAAUAUAUAUGUAUAGAUGUGUCGGUGUAGCUCUUGAUUAUGAUGAAACUAUUUGAUUUUAGUGAUCUAUUUCUUAGGAACCCAGCAGCCAUGCAAGCCAUAUGGUAGGCCGUAAGGGAAUUUUGCUCUUGCAAGUUCUUCAAAGCUGGAUCCAUCUAGUAGCAAUGCAUAGCCUCCGCCAUUAUUUUGACUUACCAUGGAGAUCACCACGCCUGCAGCAACAGACAAAUGCCAAAAUUUGAUGACUCAAUUUGUUUUGGUUAAUUAUAAGUGUAUGCAUUUUGUGAAUUAUUAAUCAUUGUGGUAUAGACGUUUUACACACUCUCAACAGACAUGAACUCACCAUCAUCUUCCUCUGUUGCGCCAGGUCGACUCACAAACAAUGGUUCGGAGGGAAUUGCACCCUCCUCGUACCAAUUAUUGGCCUUUUUCUGUACUAAAUCAAGCUGCAGCAUGUAUAUAAUAUACUAUUAUUAAUGAUUAACAUCACAAUCAGCAU